rnacentral:lncRNA from 1 species
UCGAUUUAAAUAAUUGUAAGGCUGGAUUGGGUUUCAAAUUUAGAAACAUUCCAUAUUUUACGUCGGAUUUGGAUUUAUUGUGUUCUGAUUUGUUUGAGCCAAUCCGAUCUAAUUGUUAAAUAAGUCUAGUUUGGAUCUUCUGACCUAUUAUCUGAUUCGACCUGAUCCGAUCCGAUACAAGUUAUAUUAUUUUUGUAUCAGCAUAUAAUUGAAUUGACAUCAAUUGUGGAAUUGUUUAAUAGAAAAGUUAUAUUAAAAAAAUGAAAACUAUAAAUGAUGAAAUCUUUAAUUAUUUUUGUUGUUAGAUUCAUUGACUUGUUUCAUAU